ensembl:lncRNA
UCUAAAGUAACCUUCUUGCAGUGUUUCUCAAAUAAUCUUGUUUUCUUUAAAUGUCAGAUAUAACACUGAACAGACCAUCUGUAAAAAUGACAUGCAUCAUUAAACAUCCUAUUAUUUAAGUUUUAAACAUCAGGUGAGAUUUGUUGCUGCCCACUGGGGGUCUAAGAUUUGAGCUUCUUCAUAAAGAAACAAAAUAUUGAUUGAAAUGAAAAUAUCUGAAAGUUGUCUACAGCCAUUCUUUGUUUGACGCAAUCUAUCCUGUUACAGAAAAAUUCUGUAAAACAAAAACUGCCAGAGUAAAUCCCAGUGAGUUUUGCUAAGCUUCCCUAGGGCAGUUACAGAGAUCGUCAAACAAAGAUGAAAUGCUGAAAUUCACGUAAUGAUGUGCGAAUUCAGGAACAUGCUUUACAUUUCAAAGAUGUCUCUGUGCUGCUCAACCUGUGACGGCAGUGAAGAAAACUGCAAGGCAGACUAAGCACUGUUUGAACUUUAACUCAAAGAAAAGAUCUGACAGGUUUAGUCUUCACUCUGAAAGGAAGAAGGACGAGGCUAAUCCAUAACACUUAUUUUUCAAAAUAUGAUCUGGAUCUUAUUAUAUAUAUGGUACCCUAAGGAACUGAACAAAGGACAGUAAUAGGAACCCAGGUUGACAUAAAAAGGACCAUGUCGCCCUUAGUGGUUCUAUUGAUUGUUAUAGGAUUGUUGGGGCCAACAUGUGAAAAUCUAAAUAAUGUGUCUGAUUCAGUUUCACAUCAUAAGCGAUCAGCAGACCAAAGCGCCAACAACAGGACCCAGGUGAAUAACAGCGCACUGGAAUAUUGGCCUGUGGCCAACCGUACAGAUAUUAAAACUUUUAGGAAAGGAUCACUAGUUAUUUCCAGACAGUACUGGUACCCCGUUUUAGAAAUAGCCAUUAAAAAAAGCCCCACAUCCCCUGCAAUAACCCCAGCCACAACACCAACAGAGUCAUUCAACUCAUCACCAGUAACAACUAUGUUGCCCACUUCAUUUUUCCCAACAACUGCACAAACAACCACUUCAGGGCCAUCAACAACCAAAACAACAAUGUCUACAAUUUCACUAGAGCCCCUAAUUACCAGCACUCAAGCACAUAUCAGCAAACAGAAGACCACUCCAAGUGAAAUCUCAGAAACCACAACAGAAACUUCAGCACUGCCACCAGCUAUCACCACUCCAACAACAAUCUUACCAACUACCAACUCAAGACAACAAACAACCAUCACACAUACUACAACUUCAACAACGCUACCAAAAACUACCACUUCAAACCAUAUAACAUUAGAAACUCCAACAUCAGAGGGUGCUACAACCAUUACGCAGACUGCCACUGUAAAGGAUGGCUCAAAUGCUCCAAGGGUAACAACAACUGCCAUUUCAUCCGCAAGUCUACCUGCUACAUCAAGAGCAGGAGUUAGUUUUGAAAGUACAACAGCUGAAAGAACUUCCAUAACUGCAUCACCGGUAUCAGAUACUACUUUAUGGUCUGCAGUGGCACCAGGAACAACAAUGGCAGCAACAAAAAUUGUAAUACCCCAAACAGGGGCCGUGACAACAAUUCAGCUUACACAAACACUAUCUACAACAGAGGCAGUGUCAAGCAAUGCAGUACAAUCUGCAAUAACAGAGUCAUCAUCACCUCAAGUCACAACAGAACCUUUAACAACCAAAACAGUUUCAAUAACACCAAAUGAAACAACAGUGUCUGCAUCAGAAACAGCACCGCCAGCAACAAAAAUACCAUCAUCUAAUGCGAUUUUUACAGCUGCCGAGGCAACAAGUGCAACUACUUUAACAUCAACAGGAGCAUCAUCAGCAUUGCCAGCAACUGUUUGGGGCACAACCACAGCAGCAACUGUUAGCAAUGAACCAGAAUCAACCAAGAACACACUAGCUGUGGGUCCAUCUACUGUGUUACAUACUGUGGCAGGAGAUACAGUCACAACAACAUCGACAAGCUUAGCAGAGGCUACUACUGCACCCAAAGCUUCAACCUUGGUACCAGUGACAUCUCAAGUCACACCAGAACCCUCAACAGUCCAAAAGGAAACUACAACAUUAAUGUCAGUAAAGCCAGUAACAUCAGAAGUCUCCACCACUGUCGAAAGAGUGACACAAGAACCUACAACGCAUGCUGACACUGGUUCUUCAUCAGCAGGAAUAACUACAUUGACAGCAUCUGGUACAACAAAAUCAACAUUUGCUCCUACUACAGUAGCACCAAAAACAGAGGGAUCAUCACCUUUACCUGAAACAGGUGAAGUAAAGACAACAACUGCAAGAACAUCCGGAACUACAGAAUCAUCUGCAGAAGCCCCAACAUCGUUGGUACGAACAAUAAGUGCAACUACUGCAGCAUCAGCAGGAGUGACAUCAGCAUUGCCAGCAACAGCACUGGGCUCAACCACAGCAGCAACUGUUAGCAAUGAACCAGAAUCAACCAAGAACACACUAGCUGUGGGUUCAUCUACUGUGUUACAUUCCGUGGCAGUAGAUACAGUCACAACAACAUCGAUAACAAGCUUAGCAGAGUCUACUACUGCACCCAAAGCUUCAACAUUGGUACCAGUGACAUUUCAAGUCACAAAAGAACCCUCAACAGUCCAAAAGGAAACUACAACAUUAAUGUCAGUAAAGCCAGUAACAUCAGAAGUCUCCACCACUGUCGAAAGAGUGACACAAGAACCUACAACGCAUGCUGACACUGGUUCUUCAUCAGCAGGAAUGACUACAUUGACAGCAUCUGGUACAACAAAAUCAACAUUUGCUCCCACUACAGCAGCACCAAAAACAGAGGGAUCAUCAUCUUUACCUAAAACAGGUGACGUAAAGUCAACAACUGCAAGCACAUCCAUAACUAGAGAAUCAUCUGCAGAAGCCCCAACAUUAUUGGUACGAACAACAAGUGCAACUACUGCAGCAUCAGCAGGAGUGACAUCAGCAUUGCCAGCAACAGCACUGGGCUCAACCACAGCAGCAACUGUUAGCAAUGAACCAGAAUCAACCAAGAACACACUAGCUGUGGGUCCAUCUACUGUGUUACAUACUGUGGCAGGAGAUACAGUCACAACAACAUCGACAACAAGCUUAGCAGAGUCUACUACUGCACCCAAAGCUUCAACCUUGGUACCAGUGACAUCUCAAGUCACACCAGAACCCUCAACAGUCCAAAAGGAAACUACAACAUUAAUGUCAGUGAAGCCAGUAACAGUGGCCCAUACAUCAGAAGUCUCCAUCACCGUCGAAAGAGUGACACAAGAACCUACAACGCAUGCUGACACUGGUUCUUCAUCAGCAGGAAUAACUACAUUGACAGCAUCUGGUACAACAAAAUCAACAUUUGCUCCCUCUACAGCAGCACCAAAAACAGAGGGAUCAUCAUCUUUACCUAAAACAGGUGACGUAAAGUCAACAACUGCAAGCACAUCCAUAACUAUAGAAUCAUCUGCAGAAGCCCCAACAUUAUUGGUACGAACAACAAGUGCAACUACUGCAGCAUCAGCAGGAGUGACAUCAGCAUUGCCAGCAACAGCACUGGGCUCAACCACAGCAGCAACUGUUAGCAAUGAACCAGAAUCAACCAAGAACACACUAGCUGUGGGUCCAUCUACUGUGUUACAUACUGUGGCAGGAGAUACAGUCACAACAACAUCGACAACAAGCUUAGCAGAGUCUACUACUGCACCCAACGCUUCAACCUUGGUACUAGUGACAUCUCAAGUCACAACAGAACCCUUAACAGUCCAAAAGGGAUCUACAACAUUAAUGUCAGUGAAGCCAGUAACAGUGGCCCACACAUCAGAAGUCUCCACCACUGUCGAAAGAGUGACACAAGAACCUACAACACAUGCUGACACUGGUUCUUCAUCAGCAGGAAUAACUACAUUGACAGCAUCUGGUACAACAAAAUCAACAUUUGCUCCCACUACAGCAGCAGCCCCAAAAACAGAGGGAUCAUCAACUAUACCUGAGACAGGUGAAGUAAAAACAACAACUGCAAGAACAUCCAGAACUUCAGAAUCAUCUGCAGAAGCCUCAACAUUGUUGGUACGAACAACAAGUGCAACUACUGCAGCAUCAGCAGGAGUGACAUCAGCAUCACCAGCAACUACAGCAGGGACCACCACAGCAACAAUAACUACAACUGAAGAUGCAGUGACAACAAGAGAGUCUGCUACUGCGCCCAAAGCUUCUACCUGGGUACCAGUGACAUCAGCAUUGGCAGCAACUGCAUCAGGGACAACUACAGCAGCUACUGUUAGCAGUGAACCAGAAUCAACCAAGAAUACAUCAGCUGAGGUUUCAUCCCCUGUAUUACAUUCUGAAACAAUGACAACAACAACAGCAACAACAAUGAAGCCAGUAACAGUAUCUCAUACUUCAGAGGUCUCCACCACUGUCGAAAGAGUGACACAAAAACCUACAAAUCAACCUGAAACUGGUUCUUUAUCAACAGGACAUACUACGUUGAACAACUUUGGUACCACAGAUUCAGAAAUUACACUGACGACAGAGGCCACAAACACUGAUCCUCCUACCAUAGAAGAGGGAAGCAUACACUUAAGAUUCAGUCUAAAUGAAACUUUCAGAGAAGUAUAUAGCAACCGAUCAUCCCCUGAAUUCUUUGCAUUGGCAUCACAUGUGGUAACUGUGAUAAACAGAAUUUACAGGGCAAGCUAUCUCAGAGGAUACAGGCGAUGCAGAGUCAACUUUUUCACGAGUGGCUCCAUUAAAGUUGAUAUGACUCUUAUCUUUGAGAAUUCUUCUAUAGUCCCAAGCUCAUUUGAGGUAGAAGCUAUUCUUAACAAGAACGCUCUGAAUGGUUCCAUACCUCUGGACAUCAUACCUGAUACUAUCAAAGCAGGGGAUCUAGUUACUUCUACACCAGUGCCUAUCACAAAUGCAACUGUUGAAUCUACCACCAUGAAAUACACAUCGGGUGCAAAUGAGUACGCAAACACCACCUCUAGUGGCUUUCCAUGGAUGGUACGCUGUUCACUUAUGACUAUAUAUCCAGCCAUUAUUGUUUUAUUAGCACAAACAUUGUUAUGGUGA